AGCGACUGUGCAGGUUACCGCGGCUGCUGGCACGGAGUUAGCCGGUGCUUCUUCUGUGAGUGAUGUCCUUCCUGCCGGCUAUUAACCCGCAGGCCUUCUUCCUCACUGAAAGUGCUUUACAACCCGAAGGCCUUCUUCACACACGCGGCAUGGCUGGAUCAGGGUUGCCCCCAUUGUCCAAUAUUCCCCACUGCUGCCUCCCGUAGGAGUCUGGGCCGUGUCUCAGUCCCAGUGUGGCUGAUCAUCCUCUCAGACCAGCUACGGAUCGUCGCCUUGGUGAGCCGUUACCUCACCAACCAGCUAAUCCGACAUAGGCUCAUCCGAUAGCGCGAGGCCCGAAGGUCCCCCGCUUUCCCCCGGUANGGGCUAUGCGGUAUUAGCCUGGGUUUCCCCAGGUUAUCCCCCAUACCCGGGCAGAUUCCUAUGCAUUACUNACCCGUCGCCGCUCGCCACCAGGGAGCAAGCUCCCCGUGCCUGCCGCUCGACUUGCAUGUGUUAGGCCUGCCGCCAGCGUUCAA
rnacentral:rRNA from 1 species